rnacentral:rRNA from 1 species
AUGGGGUUGAACACAGAAUCGUUGCGAGGCUUGUGUUCUGAUCGUCUAUGGAAGUAUGCAGUAUUUUGGUCAAUCAAAAGCGAGAAGCAUGGCAUCUUGACUUGGGAGGAUGGCUACGUCGACAAGAUGACCAAAAACACGAGAGAUCAUUACGGGGGCCCAGCUGAUGGUGACAACCAGAUAAUAACACCUACUUCUAACGAUGGCCAAUAUCAAAGCUAUCCAUUUUGCCCCAUCGAGGCAGCAUUACUGCGCAUGUCUAGUCAUUCAUAUUCUCUUGGAGAAGAAAUUAUUGGUAAAGUGGCCAUUAUGGGACAACAUUGCUGGAUUUCUUCCAGUGAUCUUCGUUCAACUUUGGUGUACAAGUAUCACGAAGACUGGCAAUUUCAGUUUGCAGCAGGAAUCAAAACAGUUCUACUUGUACCAGUGAUUCCUUAUGGGGUUCUUCACCUGGGAUCUUUAUGUAUGCCUCAGGUUUUGGAAAGUUCAGCACUGGCGACACACAUGAAGGACCUGUUCUAUAAGAUUUACAAUCCCUCAAUUCCUCAUAAUCCUUCAGCCACAGGGUUCUGCUACUCAAAUUCUUUGAAAAGACCUACUGCAGAUGUAUCGUUGGAUCCCGCAGAUGUUCUGGCCCAUGACUUAUUUGAUGUGAUCAACAAUUCUGCUCAGCUAUUUACCAUUGAACACCUUAGUCUACCACAUCCCUUCACUCCGUCCGAGUUUCCAAUGUUAGAAGAUGUCAUUACAGGAGCGUACGAUAUUGGUCUAACAACUUGCUCAGAUGAGAGUGAUCUGUGGACCAAUGUUCAUGAAGCACCAUCUGAACUCACUCACUGCAAGACACUGGUCGACCCGGAGAUGAAAAACCUCUCAUUUAUGGAUAAGUUGAUCAAUUCCAACAGCAAACUGAGUUGCACAUCAGUAAUUAACAUACAAGAUGCGGAUUAUAAUAAUAUUGAUGAUUUUAUUCUGGCAUAUAUGGCACAAGAAUAUCAGGAGCACACAUGUGGCAGCACUUUAGUUUUAAAUGAUGAUGUUGUAACUUCAGAUUCUUCAAUUCACUCAAAGAUGCACAAAGAUCUUGAGGCAAUUCCCAGGGAAGAUAUUGAGAGCUUCAUGUGGCAUGGUAGAUUGAAACAACAAGAGUCUACAAGCCACUCUCUCCUUCAAGCGAAUGGAAAUAAAGCAUAUUCUUACUCACACCUCGAGACCAAUGAUUAUGCUGAAUUCUUAGUGGAUGCUAUAACCAACCAGGUUGGUAAUAUCCCAAACAGUUGCUCGUAUCACUCGACUGAUUCUUCGACUUCAAGCGAAACACAAAUACAGAGAGAAGAUCAUGCACUGAGGUUGGAUUCUUCGACUUCAUGCGGAACACAAAUACAGAGAGAAGAUCAUGCACUGAGGUUGGAGGAAUCGGCAAUCCCAGAUCCCUUUGGUGGUCGAGAAUUUUCACUUACCUCAGUCGAAGAAGGCUUCAUGACUUCCAAAAUGACUGUUUCGCUCCCGAAGGGAAUCAACAGGACCAUGACUGAAGAAUGCGUGGUUCAUACAAUUCAAGACAUGCACAGGGAAAUUUCAGUUGAAAUAAAGCAUGAAGGCGGAAAAAAAGAACUGCACAGACCAAGACCGAGAGACAGGCAACUGAUUCAAGACAGGAUGAAGGAGUUGAGGGAGCUCAUUCCAAAUGCAUCAAAGUGCAGCAUUGAUGCUCUCCUGGACAAAACAAUAACACAAAUGCUGUUCCUCCAAAGUGUAUCGGAGAAAGCUGAGAAGCUUCAGAACAAAACAAGAAAUGAGAAGUUCGGUAACGAGGCCAAGAAGAAGCUGGAAAACUGCCCGCUGAGAGUGGAAGAGCUCGAGGAACCUGGUCAUCUUCUCAUUGAGAUAUUGUGCAAGGAGUAUGACGUCUUUUUCGAGACUGCGCAUCUGUUCAAGGGCCUUGAGGUCAGCAUACUGAAGGGAGAGCUGGAGCAUCGUUCUGGCCAGCUCUGGGCUCGCUUUGUUGUUGAGGCUUCCAAAUGUUCAAACCAGAUGCAGAUUCUUUGCCCACUGAUGCACCUCUUGCAGAGGAGAUGA